rnacentral:rRNA from 1 species
AUCUCAGUUCGGAUUGUAGUCUGCAACUCGACUACAUGAAGCUGGAAUCGCUAGUAAUCGCGAAUCAGAAUGUCGCGGUGAAUACGUUCCCGGGUCUUGUACACACCGCCCGUCACACCAUGGGAGUUGGAAAUGCCCGAAGUCAGUGACCCAACCGAAAGGAGGGAGCUGCCGAAGGUGGAGCCGAUGACUGGGGUGAAGUCGUAACAAGGUAAC